rnacentral:lncRNA from 1 species
AAUCUUGAUCAGCUACAACAGUUCUUAACGUGUGAGUUCAAGCUGACUCCACUCUAUACUGCUGCUCAUUCAAUCUUUUUCAGUACUAUUUCAAAUACAGUUUUCAGGGGAGGAGUUUGUUUGAGACAUGUUUUGUGUGACAAGGGAAGAACAGAAAGUUUAGUUGAACAUCAGUUUAUGCUGAGCAAAAACACCACCAUCAUCAACAUGUUGCUCUGUUUAACUGCUUUGAUUUGUUCACUUAUAUGUGGCAGUUUUGCGAAUGUCAUCACUCCAGUCCAGACUGAGGUUUAUAAGAAAGAGGGAGAAAAUGUUACUCUGACCUGUAACUACUCCUCAGCAUCCACACUGCAGUGGUAUCUCCAGUAUCCCGGAUCAGCUCCUGAAUUUCUUUUGAUAAUAUUACCUUCUACAGGAAAAGUUUCACAAAAGUCAGAAAUUGUGGAGCGAGAUCCUCGAUUCUCUGGGAAAGUGAAUGAAGAGAAAACCCAUGUGGCUCUGGAGAUCUCCUCUGCUAAAGUGACAGACUCUGGAACUUACUACUGUGCCAUGGUGCCCACAGUGACAGGAAACACAAGAACUCUGUACAAAAACCCUCAUACUGUAGUUGAAUGUUGUUUGUAG